rnacentral:lncRNA from 13 species
AUUUAGGUGGGCAUUCUAUGUUCUGUUUUCUAUGUUUCUUUGUAUUUUUUUGUUUUGGCCGGGUAUGGUUCUCAAUCAAGGACAGCAGUCUAUCGUUGUCUCUGAUUGGGAAUCACACUUAGGCAGCCUUUUUUCCCUGUUGUGAUUGUGGGAAGUUGACUUUGUUAGUGGCACUAUAUCUCGCUUAAGCUUCACGGUCGUGUGGUAUUGUUUAUUGUUUUUGUUGGCGACAUCAGAAAAAAAGUAAUGUACGCUCACCACGCUGCGCUUUGGUCUAUUUCUUCUGACGGUCGUGACACCUGUAGUCUAUGGAUUUGAGAGUGGUUGCAAUUCUUCAGCCCCAUCCCUCAGCUUUUUACCGAAACUGGAGGGGAGAACACUUUGUUAAUGUUUCAAUUAAGGAUUGCUGCUUUAAACACCUUUUUUGUAAGGGAACUACUUCAAUGACUGAAAAAAGUUUGUUUCUUGUGUUCCCUGUUUGCAGUAAAGAGCCUGCUGGCGAGUAUCUCUCUAAUGGUGUACUCGUGGCCUCCCCAUUCUCUACUGUGGAUGUGAAUAUAGAAAAGCUGAUGACCACUGCCAGUGAGUAUCAUUCAAAUUAUUAUCUACUGUCCUGUUGAACAUAGUUUGGCCUUUACUUGACCCAUAAAAUGUUUGCAAAAUUAAAGAAGAAAGUUCUAUCAGUCUAAAGACUGCCCCUGCUGCAAAGUUGCUUGCAAUGUAUGUAUUAUCUAUGUUGUUAUUGUUCUAGUGGAGGGGCCACUUAUUCUCUAAAUACCUCCCAAUGUAUGUAUGCAUUCUGUCUGUCUGUCUGUGCAUAAUCAGACCGGUCUACACAGGAUAUUCAUAGAUCACUGAUCACUGAACUGAGAUCAUAGAUCACUGAACUGAGCAACCACAUCUAUGUUGUUAUUGUUCUAGUGGAGCAGAAUGUGGUCCUGAAAAUGAGUGGGGCCUUUCCAGAAGAGCAUAAGAUUCUUGCUCCUCAAAAAACAUCCAACCUGACCAAAACUCUGCGCUACUACAUCAACAGAGACCUGGAGACAGAGCUUUGCGUGAGGGUGCGGUUAACUGAUCAUUUACUUGACCAAUAUCUUUCCUAUCUUUAUACAAGUUCCAUAUGAUUUUUUAAAUUCCACAAUCAUAUUUUUUGUAUCCCCAGGAUAAAUUGGGUGAGGUAGAAGAUCCAAAUGUCACUGGCUUAUCUACUGUUCCACUCCUGCAACUUCCAGCCAGUAAUGAUUUCAAAGUAUCUUUACCUGUGGGAGAGGUACAGUAGACCUAAUUCUUUGCACCCUUCUAGUGUAUGUAUAAAGUGCCAAGGAAAGCUUAUUGAUGAACAAUGUUUAUAAAGCCCAUGUGAUUUACAUGGACACUCCCCCUUCACAGGACAUGGUGGAUCUACAUUUGAGAACAGAGGACUGGUAAAGUGCUUUCCUUUUUUAUGAAACAAACCAUCAGUAUUUGAAGAGUUUCUUUCCAAAACGCUAUAUAUCCAUUUUCAGAAAUAUUAAAAUAGCUUGAAUUGUUUAAAGAAAUUAUGAGAAAAAUGUGUACAUUUUUUCACGAACCAAUAAUGUGAUGGCAUUGUUCAAUGACAAGCAUGUAUUUGUUCAAUAUCUUUCACUUGACGGUUUCAUUUCAGAGAGACAAAUAAAUCAUGUUUUUUUUGUCAAAUGCUAUAUACAGUGCCUUGCGAAAGUAUUUGGCCCCCUUGAACUUUGCGACCUUUUGCCACAUUUCAGGCUUCAAACAUAAAGAUAUAAAACUGUAUUUUUUUGUGAAGAAUCAACAACAAGUGGGACACAAUCAUGAAGUGGAACGACAUUUAUUGGAUAUUUCAAACUUUUUUAACAAAUCAAAAACUGAAAAAUUGGGAGUGCAAAAUUAUUCAGACCCCUUAAGUUAAUACUUUGUAGCGCCACCUUUUGCUGCGAUUACAGCUGUAAGUCGCUUGGGGUAUGUCUAUCAGUUUUGCACAUCGAGAGACUAUUUUUUUCCCCAUUCCUCCUUGCAAAACAGCUCGAGCUCAGUGAGGUUGGAUGGAGAGCAUUUGUGAAUAGCAGUUUUCAGUUCUUUCCACAGAUUCUCGAUUGGAUUCAGGUCUGGACUUUGACUUGGCCAUUCUAACACCUGGAUAUGUUUAUUUUUGAACCAUUCCAUUGUAGAUUUUGCUUUAUGUUUUGGAUCAUUGUCUUGUUGGAAGACAAAUCUCCGUCCCAGUCUCAGGUCUUUUGCAGACUCCAUCAGGUUUUCUUCCAGAAUGGUCCUGUAUUUGGCUCCAUCCAUCUUCCAAUCAAUUUUAACCAUCUUCCCUGUCCCUGCUGAAGAAAAGCAGGCCCAAACCAUGAUGCUGCCACCACCAUGUUUGACAGUGGGGAUGGUGUGUUCAGCUGUGUUGCUUUUACGCCAAACAUAACAUUUUGCAUUGUUGCCAAGAAGUUCAAUUUUGGUUUCAUCUGACCAGAGCACCUUCUUCCACAUGUUUGGUGUGUCUCCCAGGUGGCUUGUGGCAAACUUUAAACAACACUUUUUAUGGAUAUCUUUAAGAAAUGUCUUUCUUCUUGCCACUCUUCCAUAAAGGCCAGAUUUGUGCAAUAUACGACUGAUUGUUGUCCUAUGGACAGAGUCUCCCACCUCAGCUGUAGAUCUCUGCAGUUCAUCCAGAGUGAUCAUGGGCCUCUUGGCUGCAUCUCUGAUCAGUCUUCUCCUUGUAUGAGCUGAAAGUUUAGAGGGACGGCCAGGUCUUGGUAGAUUUGCAGUGGUCUGAUACUCCUUCCAUUUCAAUAUUAUCGCUUGCACAGUGCUCCUUGGGAUGUUUAAAGCUUGGGAAAUCUUUUUGUAUCCAAAUCCGGCUUUAAACUUCUUCACAACAGUAUCUCGGACCUGCCUGGUGUGUUCCUUGUUCUUCAUGAUGCUCUCUGCGCUUUUAACGGACCUCUGAGACUAUCACAGUGCAGGUGCAUUUAUACGGAGCCUUGAUUACACACAGGUGGAUUGUAUUUAUCAUCAUUAGUCAUUUAGGUCAACAUUGGAUCAUUCAGAGAUCCUCACUGAACUUCUGGAGAGAGUUUGCUGCACUGAAAGUAAAGAGGCUGAAUAAUAUUGCACGCCCAAUUUUUCCGUUUUUGAUUCGUUAAAAAAGUUUGAAAUAUCCAAUACACAAUGAUUGUGUCCCACUUGUUGUUGAUUCUUCACAAAAAAAUACAGUUUUAUAUCUUUAUGUUUGAAGCCUGAAAUGUGGCAAAAGGUCGCAAAGUUCAAGGGGGCCGAAUACUUUCGCAAGGCACUGUAUCUGCCUAAGUUACAGAAAUAAGUAGUACAGCUACGACCGGUUGUGAUACAGCCCUGGAUCGAACUAGGGUCUGUAGCAACGCCUCUAGCACUGCAAUGCUGUGCCUUAGACCGCUGCGCCACUUGGGAGUAUAUAUACACUGCUCAAAAAAAUAAAGGGAACACUUAAACAACACAAUGUAACUCCAAGUCAAUCACACUUCUGUGAAAUCAAACUGUCCACUUAGGAAGCAACACUGAUUGACAAUGAAUUUCACAUGCUGUUGUGCAAAUGGAAUAGACAACAGGUGGAAAUUAUAGGCAAUUAGCAAGACACCCCCAAUAAAGGAGUGGUUCUGCAGGUGGUGACCACAGACCUCUUCUCAGUUCCUAUGCUUCCUGGCUGAUGUUUUGGUCACUUUUGAAUGCUGGCUGU